UUUCAAAGCAGAGAAAACCAGCCCAUUGAAAAUAUCCUGCCAAGUCAUUUGGGGAUUUGUGGCAGAAACUCCAGUCUUGCGUCUGGACAUGGACCAUUUCUGGGGAAAACUGAGAGCUUUGCUAAAAGGAAGAGGGGAAAGCGGGGGCGCGCGUAUCCAGUGGUAUUUUCCCAUCUGGUACUUUGUAGAAGCCUUGCUCCCAGUAUGUACCUAAUUAAGGCUCCACAGACCUACGAGGCCCCAAGAGAGAGUGGUUACAUCAGUGCAGUCCUCAGCAGAACUGAGGAAAGAGCUUCAUCGUCCAAAACUGAGGAAAUGCCCAGAUUAACACAGGUGUUUUUGGUGGGGAGAAGGGGGUAGAAUAUUCUGGCAGCCGGAAGACAUAUCCCCAGCUUCUUUCUUCCAGGCAAAAGGGUUGCUGUGUCUCCUGAAUACCUUCUUCUUCCCCCUCGCCAUGGUGGGUGUGACAAGAUCAGCUGGCUUCCAGAAGGCAAGGUGUUCAGUAAUGUUCACAGAGAGAAGAUUAGCUCCAAGUUUUUUAAGGAAAGCAUUCUAAAGAAAGUGUUCUGUUCACAACAAAUGAGGUGGGAGGGGUCUGACGACCAGAAAGGGACUUCAAGUUACACCUUUCCUGGCACCAGAAAG
rnacentral:lncRNA from 1 species